UACGUAGGUGGCAAGCGUUGUCCGGAUUUAUUGGGUUUAAAGGGUGCGUAGGCGGCCCUGUAAGUCAGUGCUGAAAUAUCCCAGCUUAACUGGGAGGGUGGCAUUGAUACUGCGGGGCUAGAGUACAGAUGAGGUAGGCGGAAUUGACGGUGUAGCGGUGAAAUGCUUAGAUAUGACAUAGAAUACCAAUUGCGAAGGCAGCUGGCUACGCGAAUAUUGACACUCAGGCACGAAAGCGUGGGGAUCAAACAGG
rnacentral:rRNA from 1 species